rnacentral:rRNA from 1 species
CGCGAAACCUUACACUGCACGAGAGUGCGAUAAGGGGACUCCCAGUGCGAGGGCAUACAGUCCUCGCUUUUCUGGACCGUAGGGAGGUCCAGGAACAAGUGCUGGGCAAGACCGGUGCCAGCCGCCGCGGUAAUACCGGCAGCACGAGUGAUGGCCGAUAUUAUUGGGCCUAAAGCGUCCGUAGCCGGCCAGACAAGUCCGUUGGGAAAUCCACGUGCUCAACACGUGGGCGUCCAGCGGAAACUGUCUGGCCUGGGGCCGGAAGACCCAAGGGGUACGUCCGGGGUAGGAGUGAAAUCCCGUAAUCCUGGACGGACCGCCGAUGGCGAAAGCACCUUGGGAGGACGGACCCGACGGUGAGGGACGAAAGCCAGGGUCUCGAACCGGAUUAGAUACCCGGGUAGUCCUGGCCGUAAACGAUGUCCGCUAGGUGUGGCGCAGGCUACGAGCCUGCGCUGUGCCGUAGGGAAGCCGUGAAGCGGACCGCCUGGGAAGUACGUCUGCAAAGAUGAAACUUAAAGGAAUUGGCGGGGGAGCACUACAACCGGAGGAGCCUGCGGUUUAAUUGGAAUCA